rnacentral:rRNA from 1 species
UACGUAGGGUGCAAGCGUUGUCCGGAAUUAUUGGGCGUAAAGAGCUCGUAGGCGGUCUGUUACGUCGGCUGUGAAAUCCCGAGGCUCAACCUCGGGUCUGCAGCCGAUACGGGCAAGCUAGAAUUCGGUAGGGGAGACUGGAAUUCCUGGUGUAGCGGUGAAAUGCGCAGAUAUCAGGAGGAACACCGGUGGCGAAGGCGGGUCUCUGGGCCGAAAUUGACGCUGAGGAGCGAAAGCAUGGGGAGCGAACAGG